rnacentral:ncRNA from 1 species
UGGCGAAAAGGCAAACCUCGCGCGAGCGGGGGACGCAAAGCUUCGGGUCUCAGGUUAGACGGCCGAGCUGCCGCCC